rnacentral:lncRNA from 1 species
GCUGCUGAGCUAUCGCGUGAGUUCGAGCGAUUCACUUCCUGUAUGAGGUUUUCAUGCGGCUCACACGAAUGUGUGCAUCUGUCAGCCAGAGGUGAACAUGGCAGACGUCUCGGAGAGGACGCUGCAAGUGGCCGUCGUGGUGUCCUUCGCCGCCGGCUUCCUGGCGGGCUGGCAGGCCAACAGGAUGCGGAGGAAGUUUCUGGACUGGAGGAAGAAACGACUUCAAGAUAAACUGUCAGAGACGCAGAAGAAGCUGGACUUAGCCUGAAUGGGGAGCGGAUACUGGCUAGCUGCGUUGGGAAAUAUGUGGCUUCUUGUCUUUGGAUGCAUUUUGAGGUCUGUGGAUCCUGAAUCUGCUACAAUCUGUCUCUGUGAAAGGGGGAGACCUCAUCAUGAUGUACCUGUGUCCUCCACUGCCUGCGUUAUCCUGCCAUGACUAAGAUUGGACUUGAUACUAACUGUGGUCUUUGGAAAUACAAGCAUUUUCUACACACAUCAGCAGCUUGUAUAGUCUGUCUGUUUCACAUCUGGUCAAAUAAAUCAUAGUUUUUUGUUUUGUUUUCCAUGUUUCACCAAUACUUCAGAAGAUUUUUGAAUGAUCAUUUAUUACAUGUGGGUGUGAACCUGGAUUUGGAUCUGAUAUUUUUAAGGGCCACAAAGUUUUCCCAGUUUCCCAGUUUUACUUUGAGUGACAGUGCCAUCUGCUGGAUGAAACUUUCAUGUCCAAGACGGGAUUGGAUGACCUCUUUCUACCGUCUGAUCCACAGUCCAGAGCAGAAGGUGGUGAUAAUAUGCCAAUAAGCUGGAUCCCAAACACCUUAAAACAAGAAGACGGCAGCAUCUCAGCACAGACAGCAGAACUGAAGUACUCUUUACGCAAUGUACACGACAACAUUUACAACUUGGAAUAAUUCUUAUCAAGAAUCCCUUUUGGCUCCCUUCAUUGAUGGACCCUAUGGAUGAAUGCAGAUAAUCAACGGAAAGAGGACAAUUGCAUUCUAAAGGUAGGGAGCCUCCACGGUUUUUGCCAUCUUGCUGGUUUGUGAUGCUGUAAAUCUGAGUUAGGCCUAAUUGUUAGUUUAUUAUUUUCCUCAGAACAGUUUGAUUUUGGAGAACGGUGCACAGCUUGAGGCUGGCUGCUGGCAACCUAGAUGAAAAGACUGAGUCCCCAGC